CUCCUGUCCUCUUGUUUAGGAAGGUGACUCCUGUCCUCUUGUUUAGGAAGGUGACUCCUGUCCUCUUGUUUAGGAAGGUGACUCCUGUCCUCUUGUUUAGGAAGAUGACUGGUUCUGUGACUGAUCUCAGACAGCUCUGCUGGAGUGGAUCCAUCUGAUCUUGGGAGAGAGGGUUCACUUUGGGCCCAAAUCAAAUCAAAUUUUAUUUGUCACAUACACAUGGUUAGCAGAUGUUAAUGCGAGUGUAGCGAAAUGCUUGUGCUUCUAGUUCCGACAAUGCAGUAAUAACGAACAAGUAAUCUAACUAACAAUUCCAAAAAACUACUGUCUUAUACACAGUGUAAGGGGAUAAAGAAUAUGUAC
ensembl:lncRNA